GAUGAACGCUGGCGGCGUGCUUAACACAUGCAAGUCGAACGAAGCAUUUAAGACAGAUUACCUCGGUUUGAAGUCUUUUAUGACUGAGUGGCGGACGGGUGAGUAACGCGUGGGUAACCUGCCUCAUACAGGGGGAUAGCAGCUGGAAACGGCUGGUAAUACCGCAUAAGCGCACAGUACCACAUGGUACAGUGUGAAAAACUCCGGUGGUAUGAGAUGGACCCGCGUCUGAUUAGCUUGUUGGCGGGGUAACGGCCCACCAAGGCGACGAUCAGUAGCCGACCUGAGAGGGUGACCGGCCACAUUGGGACUGAGACACGGCCCAGACUCCUACGGGAGGCAGCAGUGGGGAAUAUUGCACAAUGGAGGAAACUCUGAUGCAGCGACGCCGCGUGAGUGAAGAAGUAGUUCGCUAUGUAAAGCUCUAUCAGCAGGGAAGAUAGUGACGGUACCUGACUAAGAAGCUCCGGCUAAAUACG
rnacentral:rRNA from 1 species